UACGGAGGGGCGAGCGUUAUUCGGAAUUAUUGGGCGUAAAGGGCGCGUAGGCGGCUCGAUAAGUCAAAGGUGAAAUCCCUCGGCUCAACUGAGGAACUGCCUUUGAUACUGUAGAGCUUGAGUCCGGGGGGGGGUAGCGGAAUUCCCAGUGUAGCGGUGAAAUGCGUAGAUAUUGGGAGGAACACCAGUGGCGAAGGCGGCUACCUGGACCGGAACUGACGCUGAUGCGCGAAAGCGUGGGUAGCAAACAGG
rnacentral:rRNA from 1 species